AACGCGAAGAACCUUACCAGGUCUUGACAUCCAAAGAACCUUUACGAAAGUAGGGGGUGCCUUCGGGAGCUUUGAGACAGGUGGUGCAUGGUUGUCGUCAGCUCGUGUCGUGAGAUGUUGGGUUAAGUCCCGCAACGAGCGCAACCCUUGCUAUUAGUUGCUAACAUUUCGGAUGAGCACUCUAAUGGGACUGCCCGUGACAAGCGGGAGGAAGGUGGGGAUGACGUCAAAUCAUCAUGCCCUUUAUGAUCUGGGCUACACACGUGCUACAAUGGAUGGUACAGAGAGCAGCGAGGCCGCGAGGUGGAGCGAAUCUCAAAAAGCCAUUCUCAGUUCGGAUUGCAGUCUGCAACUCGACUGCAUGAAGUCGGAAUCGCUAGUAAUCGCGGAUCAGCACGUCGCGGUGAAUGCGUUCCCGGGUCUUGUACACACCG
rnacentral:rRNA from 1 species